rnacentral:rRNA from 1 species
GACGAACGCUGGCGGCGUGCCUAAUACAUGCAAGUUGAGCGCUGAAGGUUGGUACUUGUCCCAACUGGAUGAGCAGCGAACGGGUGAGUAACGCGUGGGGAAUCUGCCUUUGAGCGGGGGACAACAUUUGGAAACGAAUGCUAAUACCGCAUAAAAACUUUAAACACAAGUUUUAAGCUUGAAAGAUGCAAUUGCAUCACUCAAAGAUGAUCCCGCGUUGUAUUAGCUAGUUGGUGAGGUAAAGGCUCACCAAGGCGAUGAUACAUAGCCGACCUGAGAGGGUGAUCGGCCACAUUGGGACUGAGACACGGCCCAAACUCCUACGGGAGGCAGCAGUAGGGAAUCUUCGGCAAUGGACGAAAGUCUGACCGAGCAACGCCGCGGGAGUGAAGAAGGUUUUCGGAUCGUAAAACUCUGUUGGUAGAGAAGAACGUUGGUGAGAGUGGAAAGCUCAUCAAGUGACGGUAACUACCCAGAAAGGGACGGCUAACUACGUG